UACGUAGGCAGCGAGCGUUGUUCGGAAUUACUGGGCGUAAAGCGAACGUAGGCGGUGUUCCAUGUCAGAGGUGAAAGCCUGGGGCUCAACUCCAGAAUUGCCUUUGAAACGGGGACGCUUGAGUCCGAGAGAGGAUGGCGGAAUUCCUAGUGUAGAGGUGAAAUUCGUAGAUAUUAGGAAGAACACCGAUGGCGAAGGCAGGUCUCUGGGCCGAUACUGACGCUGAGGAGCGAAAGCGUGGGGAGCGAACAGG
rnacentral:rRNA from 1 species